GCCAGCAGCCAUAUCACCCUGCAACGCACAGCUGGCAGCCCACUCAAGCUCAGCAGGUGUGAGCCUGGUCAGUACCUGGAUGGGUAACCUCCUGGAUGGGGAAAAACCAAGGCUGCUGCUGGAA
rnacentral:rRNA from 1 species